rnacentral:rRNA from 1 species
CUUUGAUCCAGAGAUUUCCGAAUGGGGAAACCCAGCAUGAGUUAUGUCAUGUUAUCGAUAUGUGAAUACAUAGCAUAUCAGAAGGCACACCCGGAGAACUGAAACAUCUUAGUACCCGGAGGAAGAGAAAGAAAAUUCGAUUCCCUUAGUAGCGGCGAGCGAAAUGGGAAGAGCCCAAACCAACAAGCUUGCUUGUUGGGGUUGUAGGACACUCUAUACGGAGUUACAAAGGACGACAUUAGACGAAUCAUCUGGAAAGAUGAAUCAAAGAAGGUAAUAAUCCUGUAGUCGAAAAUGUUGUCUCUCUUGAGUGGAUCCUGAGUACGACGGAGCACGUGAAAUUCCGUCGGAAUCUGGGAGGACCAUCUCCUAAGGCUAAAUACUCUCUAGUGACCGAUAGUGAACCAGUACCGUGAGGGAAAGGUGAAAAGCACCCCGGAAGGGGAGUGAAAUAGAACCUGAAACCGUGUGCUUACAAGUAGUCAGAGCCCGUUAAUGGGUGAUGGCGUGCCUUUUGUAGAAUGAACCGGCGAGUUACGAUUUGAUGCAAGGUUAAGCAGUAAAUGUGGAGCCGUAGCGAAAGCGAGUCUGAAUAGGGCGUUUAGUAUUUGGUCGUAGACCCGAAACCAGGUGAUCUACCCUUGGUCAGGUUGAAGUUCAGGUAACACUGAAUGGAGGACCGAACCGACUUACGUUGAAAAGUGAGCGGAUGAACUGAGGGUAGCGGAGAAAUUCCAAUCGAACCUGGAGAUAGCUGGUUCUCUCCGAAAUAGCUUUAGGGCUAGCCUCAAGUGAUGAUUAUUGGAGGUAGAGCACUGUUUGGACGAGGGGCCCCUCUCGGGUUACCGAAUUCAGACAAACUCCGAAUGCCAAUUAAUUUAACUUGGGAGUCAGAACAUGGGUGAUAAGGUCCGUGUUCGAAAGGGAAACAGCCCAGACCACCAGCUAAGGUCCCAAAAUAUAUGUUAAGUGGAAAAGGAUGUGGCGUUGCCCAGACAACUAGGAUGUUGGCUUAGAAGCAGCCAUCAUUUAAAGAGUGCGUAAUAGCUCACUAGUCGAGUGACACUGCGCCGAAAAUGUACCGGGGCUAAACAUAUUACCGAAGCUGUGGAUUGUCCUUUGGACAAUGGUAGGAGAGCGUUCUAAGGGCGUUGAAGCAUGAUCGUAAGGACAUGUGGAGCGCUUAGAAGUGAGAAUGCCGGUGUGAGUAGCGAAAGACGGGUGAGAAUCCCGUCCACCGAUUGACUAAGGUUUCCAGAGGAAGGCUCGUCCGCUCUGGGUUAGUCGGGUCCUAAGCUGAGGCCGACAGGCGUAGGCGAUGGAUAACAGGUUGAUAUUCCUGUACCACCUAUAAUCGUUUUAAUCGAUGGGGGGACGCAGUAGGAUAGGCGAAGCGUGCGAUUGGAUUGCACGUCUAAGCAGUAAGGCUGAGUAUUAGGCAAAUCCGGUACUCGUUAAGGCUGAGCUGUGAUGGGGAGAAGACAUUGUGUCUUCGAGUCGUUGAUUUCACACUGCCGAGAAAAGCCUCUAGAUAGAAAAUAGGUGCCCGUACCGCAAACCGACACAGGUAGUCAAGAUGAGAAUUCUAAGGUGAGCGAGCGAACUCUCGUUAAGGAACUCGGCAAAAUGACCCCGUAACUUCGGGAGAAGGGGUGCUCUUUAGGGUUAACGCCCAGAAGAGCCGCAGUGAAUAGGCCCAAGCGACUGUUUAUCAAAAACACAGGUCUCUGCUAAACCGUAAGGUGAUGUAUAGGGGCUGACGCCUGCCCGGUGCUGGAAGGUUAAGAGGAGUGGUUAGCUUCUGCGAAGCUACGAAUCGAAGCCCCAGUAAACGGCGGCCGUAACUAUAACGGUCCUAAGGUAGCGAAAUUCCUUGUCGGGUAAGUUCCGACCCGCACGAAAGGCGUAACGAUUUGGGCACUGUCUCAACGAGAGACUCGGUGAAAUCAUAGUACCUGUGAAGAUGCAGGUUACCCGCGACAGGACGGAAAGACCCCGUGGAGCUUUACUGUAGCCUGAUAUUGAAAUUCGGCACAGCUUGUACAGGAUAGGUAGGAGCCUUUGAAACGUGAGCGCUAGCUUACGUGGAGGCGCUGGUGGGAUACUACCCUAGCUGUGUUGGCUUUC